AAAUUGAAGAGUUUGAUCAUGGCUCAGAUUGAACGCUGGCGGCAGGCCUAACACAUGCAAGUCGAACGGUAACAGAAAGCAGCUUGCUGCUUUGCUGACGAGUGGCGGACGGGUGAGUAAUGUCUGGGAAACUGCCUGAUGGAGGGGGAUAACUACUGGAAACGGUAGCUAAUACCGCAUAACGUCGCAAGACCAAAGAGGGGGACCUUCGGGCCUCUUGCCAUCGGAUGUGCCCAGAUGGGAUUAGCUUGUUGGUGGGGUAACGGCUCACCAAGGCGACGAUCCCUAGCUGGUCUGAGAGGAUGACCAGCCACACUGGAACUGAGACACGGUCCAGACUCCUACGGGAGGCAGCAGUGGGGAAUAUUGCACAAUGGGCGCAAGCCUGAUGCAGCCAUGCCGCGUGUAUGAAGAAGGCCUUCGGGUUGUAAAGUACUUUCAGCGGGGAGGAAGGGAGUAAAGUUAAUACCUUUGCUCAUUGACGUUACCCGCAGAAGAAGCACCGGCUAACUCCGUGCCAGCAGCCGCGGUAAUACGGAGGGUGCAAGCGUUAAUCGGAAUUACUGGGCGUAAAGCGCACGCAGGCGGUUUGU
rnacentral:rRNA from 1 species